UACGUAGGGUGCGAGCGUUAAUCGGAAUUACUGGGCGUAAAGCGCACGUAGGCGGCUUUGCAAGUUAGAGGUGAAAGCCCGGGGCUCAACUCCGGGUCGGCCGUGCGAACUGGGAGACUGGAGCUUGUCAGAGGCAGGCGGAAUUCCGGGUGUAGCGGUGGAAUGCGUAGAGAUCCGGAAGAACACCGGUGGCGAAGGCGGCCUGCUGGGACAGUGCUGACGCUGAGGCGCGACAGCGUGGGGAGCAAACAGG
rnacentral:rRNA from 1 species